UGUCACCCACUGUCUGAAUGCCCAUCCCAUGGCACUUGUCACCAGGGAUACAGCGGUGAGAUGGGCCUCGUGCUCAUGGAGCUUACAGAGCCUGGCAGGCCAGCCCCUGAAGUCGGAGGGCUUCUCGGCUUCCCAGUCUACAUCAUCAUGGAAGGGGGCCCUUAAAAGGAACUAACACCAGACAAUUAAAUGUUGAGGUGUUGAUAGAUAAAGCUGUGUUUCGAUUUGCAUAAACAUGAUGCCAGCAAAUCUAACCCUGGCAGAAAUUCAGUUAUGAGACUUGCGCGCCUAACUUCUGCUAAUUACCACGAGAAGAUACUGCAGCUUGCAACUCUGCAGAUACCAGCAGAGGAAGAAAAACAUGGGAGACUGCUGAUAACCUAAUGUGGAGAAUUAAACUCC